UACGAAGGGGGCUAGCGUUGUUCGGAAUUACUGGGCGUAAAGCGCACGUAGGCGGACUUGUCAGUCAGGGGUGAAAUCCCGAGGCCUUAACCUCGGAACUGCCUUUGAUACUGCAAGUCUUGAGGAUGAGAGAGGUAAGUGGAACUGCGAGUGUAGAGGUGAAAUUCGUAGAUAUUCGCAAGAACACCAGUGGCGAAGGCGGCUUACUGGCUCAGUUUCUGACGCUGAGGUGCGAA
rnacentral:rRNA from 1 species